rnacentral:rRNA from 1 species
AAUGAACGCUGGCGGCGUGCUUAACACAUGCAAGUCGAGCGAGAAAGUUCCUUCGGGAAUGAGUACAGCGGCAGACGGGUGAGUAACGCGUGAGAAUCUGCCCUUUAGUGAGGAAUACCCCCGAGAAAUCGGGAAUAAUACUGCAUACGUCCAUCGUGAAAACGAUGGAGAAAGAUGGCCUCUUUGCUGUCGCUAAAGGAUGAGCUUGCGUACUAUUAGCUAGUUGGUGAGGUAAAGGCUCACCAAGGCGAAGAUGGUUAACCGGCCUGAGAGGGUGUACGGUCACACUGGAACUUAGACACGGUCCAGACUCCUACGGGUGGCUG